AUACGUUGGGUUGGGUUGUAUCAAAAAGAUCUAGCUUACUAUUUGCAGUGAAGUCAUACAUCUGUUGUAUUUUCCCUUGUAAAUAUGUGACAGAGAUACACUUGAAUAUCAAGUUAAGAACAUAAUGUGAUGAUAACUGUUGACAAUAGUUUAAAUGUUAAAACAAAUUGUACUUUAGGUGCAUUCGCUAACUAAAAGUCAAAUUGGUGCUAGCUGGUGACAUUUUAUGAUAGUAUCAAUAUGCAGAAAACUCCGACAAUCUACAUAUUAACGUCCUUGCAA
rnacentral:lncRNA from 1 species